GAUCAUGGCUCAGGAUGAACGCUAGCGGCAGGCUUAACACAUGCAAGUCGAGGGGCAGCAUAAUGGAUAGCAAUAUCUUUGGUGGCGACCGGCGCACGGGUGCGUAACGCGUAUGCAACCUACCUUUAACAGGGGGAUAACACUGAGAAAUUGGUACUAAUACCCCAUAACAUCAUGAAAGGCAUCUUUUAUGGUUGGAAAAAUUACCGAUGGUUAGAGAUGGGCAUGCGUUGUA
rnacentral:rRNA from 1 species